rnacentral:rRNA from 1 species
UACGUAGGGCGCAAGCGUUAUCCGGAAUUAUUGGGCGUAAAGAGCUCGUAGGCGGUUUGUCGCGUCUGCCGUGAAAGUCCGGGCUCAACUCCGGAUCUGCGGUGGGUACGGGCAGACUAGAGUGAUGUAGGGGAGACUGGAAUUCCUGGUGUAGCGGUGAAAUGCGCAGAUAAUCAGGAGGAACACCGAUGGCGAAGGCGGCGAUCUGGGAAGAUACUGACGCUGGAGGUGACGAAAGCGUGGGGAGCAAACAGG